rnacentral:rRNA from 1 species
CCAGGAGGUUGGCUUAGAAGCAGCCAUCCUUGAAAGAGUGCGUAAUAGCUCACUGGUCGAGUGGUUCUGCGCCGAUAAUGUAGCGGGGCUUAAGUACACCGCCGAAACCGCGGCAACACACUUGGUGUGUUGGGUAGGGGAGCGUCGUGCAUGUGUUGAAGCUAUUUGGUGACAGGUGGUGGAGUGUGUGCGAGUGAGAAUGCAGGCAUGAGUAACGAUUGAUGUGUGAGAAACAUAUCCGCCGGAUGACUAAGGGUUCCUGGGUGAAGUUUGUCUUCCCAGGGUGAGUCGGGGCCUAAGGCGAGGCCGACAGGCGUAGUCGAUGGAUGACGGGUUGAUAUUCCCGUACCCGUGUGCGUGCGACAAGUGAUGAAUCUUAUGGUACUAACCGCCCGCCUACGUGCACUGGUCUUUUUGGUUGGUGUGUGUGGGUGCGUGGGAUCUUCGUGGGUAGUAGUCAAGUGAUGGGGUGACGCAGAGUGGUAGCUAGGCUUCCUUAUUGGAUUGGAGUGCAAGCGUGUGGCCUGUGGGGUUGGGAAAUCCGCCCCGCAUUAAGGGUGAGGCGUGAUGCGGACACCAUGAGUGUGGUGGUAGUUAGUGUGCCUGUGCUGUCUAGAAAAGCCUCUAGCGAGUGCGUGCAUGGCCCGUACCGGAAACCGACACAGGUGGUCAGGUAGAGAAUACUAAGGCGUUCGGGUGAACUGUGGUUAAGGAACUCGGCAAAAUGCCCCCGUAACUUCGGGAGAAGGGGGACCAUUACUGGUUGCUGACAGCAUUAUAGCUGGUGGUGGUCGCAGAGGAGAGAGGGAAGCGACUGUUUAUUAAAAACACAGGUCCGUGCGAAAACGUGGAAGUUGAGGUAUACGGACUGACGCCUGCCCGGUGCUGGAAGGUUAAGAGGACCCGUGAGCACGCCUUAUGUGUGUGCGAGGCGGAGAAUUGAAGCCCCAGUAAACGGCGGUGGUAACUAUAACCAUCCUAAGGUAGCGAAAUUCCUUGUCGGGUAAGUUCCGACCUGCACGAAUGGCGUAACGACUUCCCUGCUGUCUCAACCACAGGCCCGGUGAAAUUGCAGUACGAGUAAAGAUGCUCGUUUCGCGCGGCAGGACGAAAAGACCCCGGGACCUUUACUAUAGCUUGGUAUUGGUGUUUGGUCAUGCUUGUGUAGGAUAGGUGGGAGACUGUGAAGCCGCAACGCUAGUUGUGGUGGAGUCGCAGGUGAAAUACCACUCUGGUGUGAUUGGGUACCUGAACCUUGGCCCGUGAUCCGGGUUGGGGACAGUGCCUGGUGGGUAGUUUAACUGGGGCGGUUGCCUCCUAAAUGGUAACGGAGGCGCCCAAAGGUUUCCUCAGUCUGGUUGGCAAUCAGAUGGUGAGUGUAAGUGUAUAAGGGAGCUUGACUGUGACACUGACGGGUGGAGCAGGUGCGAAAGCAGGGACUAGUGAUCCGGCACCUACGUGUGGUUGUGGUGUCGCUCAACGGAUAAAAGGUACCCCGGGGAUAACAGGCUGAUCUUCCCCAAGAGUUCAUAUCGACGGGAUGGUUUGGCACCUCGAUGUCGGCUCGUCGCAUCCUGGGGCUGGAGUAGGUCCCAAGGGUUGGGCUGUUCGCCCAUUAAAGCGGCACGCGAGCUGGGUUUAGAACGUCGUGAGACAGUUCGGUCUCUAUCCGCCGCGCGCGUUGAAACUUGAAGAAGGCUGUCCCUAGUACGAGAGGACCGGGAUGGACGUACCUCUGGUAUGCCAGUUGUCACGCCAGUGGCAUGGCUGGUUAGCUACGUGCGGGAGGGAUAACCGCUGAAAGCAUCUAAGCGGGAAGCCUGUUUUGAGAUGAGGUUUCUGUUGAGGUUCCCUGUAGAUGAUGGGGUUGAUAGGCCAGGGCUGUGAGCAUGGUGACGUGUUGGAGGUGACUGGUACUAAUACACCGACACAAAAAACACC